UACGAAGGGGGCUAGCGUUGUUCGGAAUUACUGGGCGUAAAGCGCGCGCAGGCGGCUAUCCAAGUCAGUGGUGAAAGCCCGGAGCUUAACUCCGGAACUGCCAUUGAAACUGUUUAGCUUGAGGACGAGAGAGGUGAGUGGAAUUCCCAGUGUAGAGGUGAAAUUCGUAGAUAUUGGGAAGAACACCGGUGGCGAAGGCGGCUCACUGGCUCAUUACUGACGCUCAGGCGCGAUAGCGUGGGGAUCAAACAGG
rnacentral:rRNA from 1 species